GAUGAACGCUGGCGGCGUGCCUAAUACAUGCAAGUCGAGCGAACGGACGAGAAGCUUGCUUCUUUGAUGUUAGCGGCGGACGGGUGAGUAACACGUGGAUACCCUACCUAUAAGACUGGGAUAACUUCGGGAAACCGGAGCUAAUACCGGAUAAUAUUUUGCACCGCAUGGUGCAAUAGUGAAAGACGGUCUUGCUGUCACUUAUAGAUGGAUCCGCGCUGCAUUAGCUGGUUGGUAAGGUAACGGCUUACCAAGGCAACGAUGCAUAGCCGACCUGAGAGGGUGAUCGGCCACACUGGAACUGAAACACGGUCAAGACGCCUAAGGGAGGCAGCAGUAGGGAAUCUGCCGCAAUGGGCGAAAGCAUGACGGAGCAACGCCGCGUGAGUGAUGAAGGUCUUCGGAUCGUAAAACUCUGUUAUUAGGGAAGAACAUAUGUGUAAGUAACUGUGCACAGCUUGACGGUACCUAAUCAGAAAGCCACGGCUAACUACGUG
rnacentral:rRNA from 1 species